UCCGUAGGUGAACCUGCGGAGGGAUCAUUACAGAGCUGUUCUUUUACAGACUCCCAAACCCCAUGUGAACAUACCGAUGUUGCCUCGGCCGGAAACGUUCCGCCCCCUCCCGGGCGGCGGCCGGCCGCGGGAACCCCUAAACUCUUGUUUAAUCUUGACCAUUCUGAAAUUACAAAAACAAAUAAGUUAAAACUUUCAACAACGGAUCUCUUGGUUCCAGCAUCGAUGAAGAACGUCGCGAAAUACGAUAAGUAAUGUGAAUUGCAGAAUUCAGUGAAUCAUCGAGUCUUUGAACGCACAUUGCGCCCGCCGGCAUUCCGGCGGGCAUGCCUGUUCGAGCGUCAUUUCAACCAUUAAGCACCAGUCUGCUUAGCGUUGGGACCUUGCGGGGAACCGCAACUCCCCAAAACCAUCGGCGGGGCCGGGAUGGCUUCAGGCGUAGUAGAUCUCUUCUCGCCUCCACAGACAUCCCCGUGCCACGGCCGCGAACCGAGCUCGGGUGGCUUCACGCCGCCCGUCCUCACUUUUUUCUUGGUUGACCUCGGAUCAGGUAGGAAUACCCGCUGAACUUAAGCAUAUCAAUAAGCGGAGGA
rnacentral:rRNA from 1 species